rnacentral:rRNA from 1 species
CAAGUCGAACGAUGAAGUUCCUUCGGGAAUGGAUUAGUGGCGAACGGGUGAGGAACACGUGAGAAACCUGCCUUUCAUUCUGGGAUAACACCGGGAAACCGGUGCUAAUACCGGAUACUCCAUCUUGGCGGCAUCGCCGAGCUGGGAAAAAAUUUUGAUGAAAGAUGGUCUCGCGGCCUAUCAGCUAGUUGGUGAGGUAAAGGCUCACCAAGGCGACGACGGGUAGCCGGCCUGAGAGGGCGACCGGCCACACUGGGACUGAGACACGGCCCAGACUCCUACGGGAGGCAGCAGUAGGGAAUAUUGGGCAAUGGGCGAAAGCCUGACCCAGCGACGCCGCGUGAGGGAUGAAGGUCUUCGGAUUGUAAACCUCCUUCAGUAGGGAAGAAGCGAAAGUGACGGUACCUAAAGAAGAAGCACCGGCUAACUAUGUGCCAGCAGCCGCGGUAAUACAUAGGGUGCAAGCGUUGUCCGGAAUUAUUGGGCGUAAAGAGCUCGUAGGUCGUUUGUCGCGUCGAUUGUGAAAAUCUGAGGCUCAACCUCAGACCUGCAGUCGAUACGGGCAAACUAGAGUGUGGUAGGGGAGACUGGAAUUCCUGGUGUAGCGGUGGAAUGCGCAGAUAUCAGGAGGAACACCAAUGGCGAAGGCAGGUCUCUGGGCCAUAACUGACACUGAGGAGCGAAAGUGCGGGGAGCGAACAGGAUUAGAUACCCUGGUAGUCCGCACCGUAAACGGUGGGCACUAGUUGUGGGAACCUUCCACGGUUUCCGCGACGCAGCAAACGCAUUAAGUGCCCCGCCUGGGGAGUACGAUCGCAAGAUUAAAACUCAAAGGAAUUGACGG